AACCUAGCACACCUGCGGUGUGUACCUGCGGAAGGAUCAUUACCGAGUACCGGGUCCUCUGGGCCCAUACUCCCACCCUUUGUGUAUUAAACCUUUGUUCGUUGCCUCGGUGGGGUUGAUCCCGUCUAGGGGGACCCGCCGGGGGGACACCACUAAACUCUUGUUAACUGUGGAGUCUGAGAAAACACUAAAUAAGUCAAAACUUUUAACAAUGGAUCU
rnacentral:misc_RNA from 1 species